CCUACGGGGGGCAGCAGUGAGGAAUAUUGGUCAAUGGGCGCAAGCCUGAACCAGCCAAGUCGCGUGAGGGAUGACGGUCCUAUGGAUUGUAAACCUCUUUUGUCGGGGAGCAAGGCCCGCCACGUGUGGCGGGAAGGAGAGUACCCGAAGAAAAAGCAUCGGCUAACUCCGUGCCAGCAGCCGCGGUAAUACGGAGGAUGCGAGUGUUAUCCGGAUUUAUUGGGUUUAAAGGGUGCGUAGGCGGAAGGUUAAGUCAGCGGUCAAAUGUCGGUGCUCAACACCGGCCUGCCGUUGAAACUGGUCGUCUUGAGUGAGCGAGAAGUAUGCGGAAUGCGUGGUGUAGCGGUGAAAUGCAUAGAUAUCACGCAGAACUCCGAUUGCGAAGGCAGCAUACCGGCGCUCAACUGACGCUGAGGCACGAAAGCGUGGGGAUCGAACAGGAUUAGAUACCCCAGUAGUC
rnacentral:rRNA from 1 species